GAUGGUGUAGUUCAGUCGGUAGAACGGUGGACUGUUAAUCCAUAUGUCGCAGGUUCGAGUCCUGCCACCAUCGCCA
rnacentral:tRNA from 1 species